rnacentral:rRNA from 1 species
CCUACGGGGGGCAGCAGUAGGGAAUAUUGGGCAAUGGAGGCAACUCUGACCCAGCCAUGCCGCGUGAACGAAGAAGGCGCUAUGCGUCGUAAAGUUCUUUUAGAAGGGGCGAAAAUGCGGGAUUUAUCCUGUACUGACGGUACCUUCGGAAUAAGCACCGGCUAACUCCGUGCCAGCAGCCGCGGUAAUACGGAGGGUGCGAGCGUUAUCCGGAAUCACUGGGUUUAAAGGGUGCGUAGGCGGGAAGAUAAGUCAGAGGUGAAAUCUCGUCGCUU